AUAAGCAACGUGCCUCAAAGAUCGGGAUAGCCCGGGGAAACCCGGAGUAAUACCGGAUGUGGCCGUCGAGGGGCAUCCCUUGACGAUUAAAUGGUUUUUCGCUUUGAGAGCGGCUUAUGGCCUAUCAGGUAGUAGGUGGGGUAAUGGCCUACCAAGCCGACGACGGGUAGCGGGUCUGAGAGGAUGACCCGCUCGAGUGGGACCGAGACACGGCC
rnacentral:rRNA from 1 species